UUUUUUAGUCCUAGGAUGUAGGCACCUCUUCAGCUUUCCUGCACAUUGUACUGCAUUGCCAGUAAUGCAUCUUUCUGCUAACAGAGGGCAAUACAGAAAAGCGAACACACACACACAAAGCCUACUCUUCUCUUCUCAGAAACAAUUCCAUUAGAAGACAAUCAUUUCAGCAAUUUAAAACCUGGUCUUAGAGGAUGCUGAAGGAUUUGCUUUGCUUCAUGAGAAUGUGCUUCAGUGUCCUCAUGCAGAGAUGGGAGAAAAAAAGUCACGCUGCCUCGUAGUCUGCAAUGCUAAUCGAGCAAAUGCUGGGGAGACAGGCCAGCAUUUUGUGGUUUCUGGCUGAUUAACUGGCAAUGGGAUAACCAAUCAAUGAAGGUGCUUGCCUGCCAGGGAUAACAGAGGAGAACAUGUGGGCUCGAGUGCCUCUGUAGCAGAGGAGGGAGGAUUAAACAAGGGUCCCCCCCAAUCCUGAGGGUGUUAGCUCACCCAGCACUGAUGGGAACACUGCACUGCUUGCAAUUCUCCAGCCCCAGCUGAAAAAGACUUGUUUGCUGCUCAGUUUGUGAAAGAAAGACACUGGCACCUUUCCCCUCUGGAGAACGGAUGGAGGUAUGUCCCUGAAAAUCCCCAAGGAACAUCCUACUUUUCCAUGCCAGCUUUGCUUUCUGAUGCCCGUAGGCAUUUUCCUGGGGAGCAUGGGGUACCAUGCGGACCAUGCUCAGAGCUACCGACUUCAGCUCAG